rnacentral:lncRNA from 1 species
AAGUCUCGCCCCAUUCCGAGUCCGGCGGACGAACUUCGCCCACGCCCCCCACCAAGGCUAUAGCCCACCCGUUUUUUGGCCAUUUUUCCGCUGGGGGGUUUUGGCACCACGACCUUCGGGUGCUUAUUUUUGGACGCGGCUGUGCCCGCGACUUCCCGCGGGUACCCCGAGGCCCCUCGCAAAGCCUCGCCCCAUUCCGAGUCCGGCAGACGAACUUCGCCCGCGCCCCCCACCAAGGCCAUAGCCCACCCGUUUUUUGGCCAUUUUUCCGCUGGUGGGUUUUGGCACCACGACCUUCGGGAGCUUAUUUUUGGGCGCGGCUUUGCCCGUGGCUUAUUUUUGGCGCCCCGAGGCCCUGCGCAAAGUCUCGCCCCAUUCCGAGUCCGGCGGACGAACUUCGCCCGCGCCCGCCACCAAGGCUAUAGCCCACCCGUUUUUUGGCCAUUUUUCCGCUGGGGGGUUUUGGCACCACGACCUUCGGGCGCUUAUUUCUGGACGCCGCUGUGCCCGCGACUUCCCGCGGGCACCCCGAGGCCCCUCGCAAAGUCUCGCCCCAUUCCGAGUCCGGCGGACGAACUUCGCCCGCGCCCCCCACCAAGGCUAUAGCCCACCCGUUUUUUGGCCAUUUGUCCGCUGGGGGGUUUUGGCACCACGACCUUCGGGCGCUUAUUUUUGGGCGCGGCUUUGCCCAUGGCGAAUUUUUGGCGCCCCGAGGCCCCGUGCAAAGUCUCGCCCAAUUCCGAGUCCGGCGGACGAACUUCGCCCGCGCCCCCCACCAAGGCUAUAGCCCACCCGUUUUUUGGCCAUUUUUCCGCUGGGUGGUUUUGGCACCACGACCUUCGGGCACUUAUUUUUGGGCGCGACUUUGCCCGCGGCUUAUUUUUGGCGCCCCGACGCCCUGCACAAAGUCUCGCCCCAUUCCGAGUCCGGCGGACGAACUUCGCCCGCGCCCCCCACCAAGGCUAUAGCCCACCCGUUUUUUGGCCAUUUUUCCGCUGGGGGGUUUUGGCACCACGACCUUCGGGCGCUUAUUUUUGGGCGCGGCUUUGCCCGCGGCUUAUUUUUGGCGCCCCGAGGCCCCUCGCAAAGUCUCGCCCCAUUCCGAGUCCGGCGGACGAACUUCGCCAGCGCCCCCCACCAAGGCUAUAGCCCACCCGUUUUUUGGCCAUUU